rnacentral:tRNA from 1 species
AUUCACGUAGUUUAAUAAAACAUUUUAUUUUCAAUAAAAAAAUGAAUAUAUUUCCGAGAAUA